CCAAUUUCAUCAUAGUUUCGACUUCGAUCCACUUAGUCAACCGAAAUAACAUAUAUAACCUCUUAGUUGAAUGAUGACAUAACGACUACAUAUACAAGGCUUGGGACACCAUAAUAAAGUACACUACACGAUGAGUUUGUGGAAAUUUUUAGAGGUUUUUUGGCACACCAGAGAUAAUUUCUACAAUUUUCAAAAAUCUGAAGCUAGUUAAAUUAGUUUAACAAAAAGAAAAAUUUAGAUGGUGCGAUCUAGACCUUUGAUCUCAGCACCUCUUAAUCAGGACCAUCCUUUAAUUAUCAUUUGGGGCCUAUAAAUAGCCCAAGUCAGAUCAGAGUCCUCGGACGAUCCAGCCUUCGACCCGUCUCCUCAACUCGAAUACCCGUGAAGACGACCCGAUUUUGGAGCUCCGCCUUCAGGCCGCUUCACUGCGGCGCACCGGUGCCGUUAGAUUUGUCUCCUCGCCGCGUUAUGCCUCUAGUCUAGAUUUGUCCAAUCUUUGGGUGAGGGAGGACAAUCGAAAUCCGAAGUUUCGGCGACACCGAGUCGCCGACGGUUUCUCCAAGCUUCCGGCGAGUAGGGUCACUUUUCGCAGUGCAUGAGAAACAGGUGAUGGUGAGAUUUGAUGCAUGUUUGCCGGUGAUGGACAUUUGGCUGUGGUUGCGAGUUGCGACGACCCUCUUCGAAGCGGUGGAGAAGCAAGUGCUGAAAGUGAGGUGGAGGAGGGUGGUCGGGGAUUGGGUCAGGUUUGGCCCUGGGUUUGCGGUAUAUUAAACAAUGAAAGAUCGAUCGAGGUCGAGAGGACUUUUAAGUUCACAGCUGCAUCGUAUGGGUUUGAUUUAUAGUGAAAGAUCAAAUCUUGAUUUGGAAUUCUAAUAUUUGGUAGAUCAGACCGGAAUGAAAGUUCUUAUUCUCGAUCUUGAUCUAAUUAAAUUGGGGACCCUGGGUUUUUGUUAGUUAUGAAUCUGUGGAUGAUAAUCACGCGGAGAAACAACUACUGGUGUUGAUGCUGAUGGUGGCUUAGUGUUGAAAGAGAGAGUAUGGAAUAACAGGUCACCCGGUCAACAUUUCAACCGUUAGAUUUCAGACUUGAAAUCCAACGGUCCAUAAUAAGCUGACGUGCCCACAAGCACGGCAAGCUCGGAGCAUGCAAGAAUUUCGGUGAUCAGUGCAUGUGGAAAUUUUGCCACAGACCUUUUAGAAAUAUUAUAAUAUCUCCUAGAUAAUGGUGGAACUCAGAAUUAGACCUGUAAUUAGAGAACAAAUGGUUCCCUUAUAAACUGGCCUUAUUAGCUUUUAUGAAACUAAAAAAAUAAAGAGUAAAAUCACCAAUUUCCAGCUGGUCGUAAAACUCUGUUUAAUGUCUUUUGCCUUUGUUUUAAUUUUCUUCCUGGACAGAUACAUGGCGAAACAAUUCGACGCCAGUCAAGACUACAGGAUAAGGCAAAGCUCCUAGACGUUCAAUGCAAACACAUGGCAAAGGGUAGAUAAAAUGUUUCAGAGGCCAGGUGCAUGGUCACUUUUCUUAGCAAUUCACAGUUUUGACUGCCCCAAAAUUUUUUAUUAUAUCUGGCCAUCCCCAAUUUUGUGCUAGGGUUUGGUCUCAGUUUUGAAUGGUAGAAAAUAUUUGUUGUAAUCUCAAGUUGGCCGAGAUGAUGCUCUCUC